UUGAACGCUGGCGGCAGGCCUAACACAUGCAAGUCGAGCGGUAACACAGAGAGCUUGCUCUCGGGUGACGAGCGGCGGACGGGUGAGUAAUGUCUGGGAAACUGCCUGAUGGAGGGGGAUAACUACUGGAAACGGUAGCUAAUACCGCAUAACGUCGCAAGACCAAAGUGGGGGACCUUCGGGCCUCAUGCCAUCAGAUGUGCCCAGAUGGGAUUAGCUAGUAGGUGGGGUAACGGCUCACCUAGGCGACGAUCCCUAGCUGGUCUGAGAGGAUGACCAGCCACACUGGAACUGAGACACGGUCCAGACUCCUACGGGAGGCAGCAGUGGGGAAUAUUGCACAAUGGGCGCAAGCCUGAUGCAGCCAUGCCGCGUGUGUGAAGAAGGCCUUCGGGUUGUAAAGCACUUUCAGCGGGGAGGAAGGCGGUGAGGUUAAUAACCUCAUCGAUUGACGUUACCCGCAGAAGAAGCACCGGCUAACUCCGUGCCAGCAGCCGCGGUAAUACGGAGGGUGCAAGCGUUAAUCGGAAUUACUGGGCGUAAAGCGCACGCAGGCGGUCUGUCAAGUCGGAUGUGAAAUCCCCGGGCUCAACCUGGGAACUGCAUUCGAAACUGGCAGGCUAGAGUCUUGUAGAGGGGGGUAGAAUUCCAGGUGUAGCGGUGAAAUGCGUAGAGAUCUGGAGGAAUACCGGUGGCGAAGGCGGCCCCCUGGACAAAGACUGACGCUCAGGUGCGAAAGCGUGGGGAGCAAACAGGAUUAGAUACCCUGGUAGUCCACGCGGUAAACGAUGUCGAUUUGGAGGUUGUGCCCUUGAGGCGUGGCUUCCGGAGCUAACGCGUUAAAUCGACCGCCUGGGGAGUACGGCCGCAAGGUUAAAACUCAAAUGAAUUGACGGGGGCCCGCACAAGCGGUGGAGCAUGUGGUUUAAUUCGAUGCAACGCGAAGAACCUUACCUGGUCUUGACAUCCACAGAACUUUCCAGAGAUGGAUUGGUGCCUUCGGGAACUGUGAGACAGGUGCUGCAUGGCUGUCGUCAGCUCGUGUUGUGAAAUGUUGGGUUAAGUCCCGCAACGAGCGCAACCCUUAUCCUUUGUUGCCAGCGGUUCGGCCGGGAACUCAAAGGAGACUGCCAGUGAUAAACUGGAGGAAGGUGGGGAUGACGUCAAGUCAUCAUGGCCCUUACGACCAGGGCUACACACGUGCUACAAUGGCAUAUACAAAGAGAAGCGACCUCGCGAGAGCAAGCGGACCUCAUAAAGUAUGUCGUAGUCCGGAUUGGAGUCUGCAACUCGACUCCAUGAAGUCGGAAUCGCUAGUAAUCGUAGAUCAGAAUGCUACGGUGAAUACGUUCCCGGGCCUUGUACACACCGCCCGUCACACCAUGGGAGUGGGUUGCAAAAGAAGUAGGUAGCUUAACCUUCGGGAGGGCGCUUACCACUUUGUGAUUCAUGACUGGGGUG
rnacentral:rRNA from 1 species